rnacentral:rRNA from 1 species
AUGCCGCCGCGCUUCUGGGCCGAAGCUCUUAGCACUUCCACAUACUUGCUCAACCGCCGGCCAUGUCACUCCACUGCGCCGCGGUCACCACACGAGAUGCUUUUAGGCGUGCCACCCGACUACUCCCUCCUUUGCGUCUUUGGUUGCCUCUGCUUCCCCAACCUCACCUCGACCUCGCGCCACAAACUUGAUCGCCGAUCCACUGCGUGCAUCUUCCUUGGGUACCCCCCAGACCACCGCGGCUACCGGUGUUUCGAUCCCGCCUCUCGCCGCGUUUUCACUUCCCGGCAUGUGAUUUUCCACGAGGACGUGUUCCCUUUCGCCUCGCCGCCGGACGCCGCGUCAGCACCUCCGCCUGCGGCUCGUCUUUCACCCACUGUUGUGCAGGUGCCAACUCCUCCCUGCGUUCGCGCGCUGCCCGUUGCUUCGGACACGGCGGACAUGCCCGUGCAGCGUUCAGGCUCGCCCGCCGGGGGCUCGGCGGUCCACUCCAGUGGCUCCCCGCCCAGCGCGCCGUCCUCAGCUUCACAUACGGGCCCUGGGUCGGCCAACGACGGCUCCACUACGGGCACCUCUUCGUCAGGCACCUCUUCAUCGAGCACGGACGUCUCCUGUCCGCCGGUCGUCGCGCCCCCACCGCCACCACCGACGCGUGCGGUCACCCGCGCCCAGCGUGGGAUAUUUCGGCCUAACCCGAAGUACUACGACGCCGCUGCUGCCACCACAACGGAGAUCUCGCCGGUGCCCAGCUCGGUUCGUGUGGCGGUGCGUGAUCCCAACUGGCUCGCCGCCAUGCGGGCUGAGCACGACGCACUUGUUCGCAACCGAACAUGGACGCUGGUGCCUCGGCCUCUUGGUGCCAACCUCAUCACCGGCAAGUGGCUCUUCAAGCACAAGAUGAACGCCGACGGCACGCUGGAGCGGUACAAGGCCAGGUGGGUCGUGCGCGGCUUCCGCCAGCGCGCCGGCAUCGACUACAGCGAGACGUUCUCUCCGGUCGUCAAGCCAGCAACGAUUCGCACGGUGCUCACCCUCGCUGCAUCUCGCGGCUGGCCGGUGCACCAACUUGACGUCUCCAACGCCUUCCUCCAUGGCACACUCGCCGAGGAGGUCUACUGCCUUCAACCUGCCGGCUUCGUCGACCCGCUCACCAUGUCUGCAGGCUCUCUAAGUCGCUGUACGGGCUGA